GACGAACGCUGGCGGCGUGCUUAACACAUGCAAGUCGAACGAAGUGGCGAACGGGUGAGUAAUACGUGGGUAACCUGCCCUCCUUUUUGGGAUAAGCCUGGGAAACUGGGUCUAAUACCGGAUAGUGUGGGAUGGGCCCGCGGCCUAUCAGCUUGUUGGUGGGGUAAUGGCCUACCCUGGCGGCGACGGGUAGCGGGCCUGAGAGGGUUGACGGCCACAUUGGGACUGAGAAACGGCCCAGACGACAACGGGAGGCAGCAGUGGGGAAGAUUGCACCAUGGGCGGAAGCCUGAGGCUGCGACGCCGCGUGGGGGAUGACGGCCUUCGGGUUGUAAACUCAUUUCACCAUCGAAGCGGGAGAUGGAGAAGAAGCACCGGCUAACGCCGUGCCAGCAGCCGCGGUAAUAC
rnacentral:rRNA from 1 species